rnacentral:snRNA from 1 species
GUACUUAGUUGGACGACGUAAAUGAACAAUUAAAAAGGUUCAUCAUGUCGGUUGAUAAUUUCAAUUUCACUUUAGAGGAAGAGGGAUGUCUCUGAUAAACUAAAGCGAUCAAGUCUGCAUCAUAAUUAUUGAUAUGACAUUUUUUCUGUCU